GAAAGCUCUUGCCUCCUUUGGCCGUCGACAGUUGGUUCCAGCCAGAGAGACCCCACCACUUUUUCGUUCGAGCAGCGAGAUCCCACCUGAGAGACCCCACCUCUCGUCUCCGCCUCUCUCCAUCCCAAACCUCUUGGUCGUCUCCGGCCAAAACCAUGCCACCUCCAGCCGCCUCCGGCAUCGCUAUCCUGUCACUCGCUCGAGGAGUCCAUGAGGGAAUUCGUGCGGGUGGUGCAGCGGGAAGCGAAACGGCGGCGAAGGAGGAUUGAAUGUCGGAGGGACUUGGGAUGGGGCUGGAGGGGAGAGUAUCUGGUGAUGCAGCGAUGGGUCCCACGGCGGUGGGGUGGUUCACGACCCUCCAUUGCUGGAGUCGAUCCGUAGCUUGUGGGGCAUUUCCAUUGCCCAGCUGGGCUUGAAUUUUAGUGUGAUUUGAUUUAUCAUCCGAUCCAACUAUUUUUGAGGGGACGAUCCGAAUAAAUUUUUUCGAUCGUGCGGCGGGGCGCAGCCUCCAUGGUACAGAUUCAAUUCGUUUGUGGAUUUUGAUCCAUUUAGAUAUUUUAAUUUUUUCUUAUUAAUUUAUAAUAUAAAAAUCUGGUCCAAGAUUUUUUUUU
rnacentral:lncRNA from 1 species